rnacentral:rRNA from 1 species
GGAAUAUUGGUCAAUGGACGAAAGUCUGAACCAGCCAAGUAGCGUGAAGGAUGACUGCCCUAUGGGUUGUAAACUUCUUUUGUUUGGGAAUAAAGUGAGGCACGUGUGCCUUUUUGUAUGUACCUUACGAAUAAGCAUCGGCUAAUUCCGUGCCAGCAGCCGCGGUAAUACGGAAGAUGCGAGCGUUAUCCGGAAUUAUUGGGUUUAAAGGGAGCGUAGGCGGACCUUUAAGUCAGCGGUAAAAUGUCAAUGCCCAACAUUGGCCUGCCGUUGAUACUGUUGGUCUUGAAUACACACAAGGAAGGUGGAAUUCGUUGUGUAGCGGUGAAAUGCUUAGAUAUGACGAAGAACUCCGAUUGCGAAGGCAGCCUUCUGGGGUGCGAUUGACGCUGAGGCUCGAAAGUGCGGGUAUCAAACA